rnacentral:rRNA from 1 species
GACGAACGCUGGCGGCGUGCCUAAUACAUGCAAGUCGAGCGAGCGGAACCAACAGAUUUACUUCGGUAAUGACGUUGGGAAAGCGAGCGGCGGAUGGGUGAGUAACACGUGGGGAACCUGCCCCUAAGUCUGGGAUACCAUUUGGAAACAGGUGCUAAUACCGGAUAAUAAAGCAGAUCGCAUGAUCAGCUUUUGAAAGGCGGCGUAAGCUGUCGCUAAGGGAUGGCCCCGCGGUGCAUUAGCUAGUUGGUAAGGUAACGGCUUACCAAGGCGACGAUGCAUAGCCGAGUUGAGAGACUGAUCGGCCACAUUGGGACUGAGACACGGCCCAAACUCCUACGGGAGGCAGCAGUAGGGAAUCUUCCACAAUGGACGCAAGUCUGAUGGAGCAACGCCGCGUGAGUGAAGAAGGUUUUCGGAACGUAAAGCUCUGUUGUUGGUGAAGAAGGAUAGAGGUAGUAACUGGCCUUUAUUUGACGGUAAUCAACCAGAAAGUCACGGCUAACUACGUGCCAGCAGCCGCGGUAAUACGUAGGUGGCAAGCGUUGUCCGGAUUUAUUGGGCGUAAAGCGAGCGCAGGCGGAAAAAUAAGUCUAAUGUGAAAGCCCUCGGCUUAACCGAGG